GAUGAACGCUGGCGGCGUGCCUAAUACAUGCAAGUCGAGCGAACGGACGAGAAGCUUGCUUCUCUGAUGUUAGCGGCGGACGGGUGAGUAACACGUGGAUAACCUACCUAUAAGACUGGGAUAACUUCGGGAAACCGGAGCUAAUACCGGAUGAUAUUUUGAACCGCAUGGUUCAAAAGUGAAAGACGGUCUUGCUGUCACUUAUAGAUGGAUCCGCGCUGCAUUAGCUAGUUGGUAAGGUAACGGCUUACCAAGGCAACGAUGCAUAGCCGACCUGAGAGGGUGAUCGGCCACACUGGAACUGAGACACGGUCCAGACUCCUACGGGAGGCAGCAGUAGGGAAUCUUCCGCAAUGGGCGAAAGCCUGACAGAGCAACGCCGCGUGAGUGAUAAAGGUCUUCGGAUCGUAAAACUCUGUUAUUAGGGAAGAACAUAUGUGUAAGUAACUGUGCACAUCUUGACGGUACCUAAUCAGAAAGCCACGGCUAACUACGUG
rnacentral:rRNA from 1 species